ACCCAGCUGACGAAUCCUAAAUAGGACGAAACGCGCUUCCUGGUU
rnacentral:hammerhead_ribozyme from 1 species